rnacentral:lncRNA from 1 species
AACUUGAUAAUAUUCUUUCCAUAUGAAGAUCAAUGUUCUCUCUCUACAGAGACAGAAGCAGGAGAGAACAGUGAACAUGUUAAAUUGGAUUUGGUGUGAGGAUUAUUAGACCUAGGAUAAUUGUGGAUUUCCCUCCUGGAGACUUUGAAAAAACAAAAAUUGUUUCUCCUCUUUAAGAAACAGUGCAACAGUAGUCUUAUCUGAUAGCACAGAGCUGGAAUAGGUGACUUCUCCUAGGGGAUUUUUCCUGGUGGAUAAUUUAUUAGCUCUUAAUUCUCUCUUUUUUUUUUCCGUUUGUUUGCAUCCUAUAAUAUUUCCUUAAGCAGUGGUUUGUAGUUCUCCUUGAGGAGGUACUUUCUCUCUUCCUAUUCGUAUGCCUUUUAUUUGUUUCUCUUUCCUGACUUCUCUGGCCAGGACUUCCAGUACUAUGUUGAAUAGGAGUGGUGAGAGAGGGCAUCCUUGUCUUGUCCCAGUUCUCAAGAGGAAUGCUUUCAGCUUUUGCUCAUUCAGUAUGGUGUUGGCUGUGGGUUUAUCAUAUGUGGCUCUCAUUAUUUUGAGGUACAUUUCUUCAGUGCCUAGUUUGCUGAGGUUUUUUAACAUGAAGCGAUAUGGAAUUUUAGUGAAAGCAUUUUCUGCAUCUAUUGAGAUGAUCAUUUGAUUUUUGUUUUUAGUUCUGUUUCUGUGAUGAAUCACAUUUAUUGAUUUGAAUAUGUUGAACCAACCUUGCAUCCCAAAAAUAAAGCCUACUUGAUCAUGGUGGACUAGCUUUUUGGUGUGCUACUGGAUUUGGUUUGCUAGUAUUUUGUUGAGGAUUUUGGUGUCUAUGUUCAUCAGGGAUAUUGGCCUGAAAUUUUCUUUGUUUAUUAUGUCUUCCAGGUUUUGGUAUCAGAAUGAUGCUGCCUCAUAGAAUGAGUUAGGGAGGAGUCCCUCCUCCUUGAUGUUUUGGAAUAGUUUCAGUAGUAUUGGUACCAACUCUUCUUCUUCUUUUUUUUUUUUGAGACAGGGUCUCACUCUAUCACCCACGCUGGAGUGCAGUGGUGCAAUCACAGCUCACUUCAGCCUCAAACUCCCAGGCAUAGGUGAGCCCCCCAGGUAGCUGGGACUAUAGGUAUACACCACUACACCUGGAUAAUUUUAGUAUUUUUUGUAGAGAGGGGGUUUCAUCAUGUUGCCCAGGCUGGUCUCAAACUCCUGAGCUCAAGUGAUCUGCUUGCCGUGACCUCCCAAAGUCUUGGGAUUAUAGGUGUGAGCCACCACACCUGGCCCAGCUCUUCUUUAUACAUCUGUGAAUCCACCGGGUCCUGGGCUCUUUCUGGUUGGUUGAUUUAUUACAGAUUUAAUUUUGGAACUUGUUAUUGGUUUGUUCAGAGUUUCAAUUUCUUCCUGAUUCAAUCUUGAAAAGUUGUAUGUUUUCAGAAAUACAUCCAUGUCUUCUAGAUAUUCUAGUUUGUGUACAUAGA